rnacentral:tRNA from 1 species
GCCCGGAUGGCGGAAUUGGUAGACGCGCUAGUUUCAGGGACUAGUGUGAGCAAUCGCGUGCAGGUUCGAGUCCUGUUCCGGGCA